rnacentral:rRNA from 1 species
GAUGAACGCUGGCGGCAUGCCUAAUACAUGCAAGUCGGACGAGGAUGUUUCUACAUCCUAGUGGCGAACGGGUGAGUAACACGUAGGGAACCUGCCCCUAAGACGAGGAUAACUACUGGAAACGGUAGCUAAUACUGGAUAGGAUAAGUUGACGCAUGUUGGCUUAUUUAAAGGUGCCUAUAAAGCACCGCUUAGGGAUGGCCCUGCGGCGCAUUAGCUAGUUGGUGGGGUAACGGCCUACCAAGGCGACGAUGCGUAGCUGUGCUGAGAGGCAGAACAGCCACACUGGGACUGAGACACGGCCCAGACUCCUACGGGAGGCAGCAGUAGGGAAUUUUCGGCAAUGGGGGGGAACCCUGACCGAGCGAUGCCGCGUGAGUGAUGAAGGUCUUCGGACUGUAAAACUCUGUUAUUAGGGAAGAAUACUAUAGGGAGGAAAUGCCUUAUAGAUGACGGUACCUAAUGAGGAAGCCCCGGCCAACUAUGUG